rnacentral:rRNA from 1 species
GAUGAACGCUGGCAGCGUGCCUAAUACAUGCAAGUCGAGCGAACAGACGAGGAGCUUGCUCCUCUGACGUUAGCGGCGGACGGGUGAGUAACACGUGGAUAACCUACCUAUAAGACUGGGAUAACUUCGGGAAACCGGAGCUAAUACCGGAUAAUAUAUUGAACCGCAUGGUUCAAUAGUGAAAGACGGUUUUGCUGUCACUUAUAGAUGGAUCCGCGCCGCAUUAGCUAGUUGGUAAGGUAACAGCUUACCAAGGCAACGAUGCGUAGCCGACCUGAGAGGGUGAUCGGCCACACUGGAACUGAGACACGGUCCAGACUCCUACGGGAGGCAGCAGUAGGGAAUCUUCCGCAAUGGGCGAAAGCCUGACGGAGCAACGCCGCGUGAGUGAUGAAGGUCUUCGGAUCGUAAAACUCUGUUAUUAGGGAAGAACAAAUGUGUAAGUAACUAUGCACGUCUUGACGGUACCUAAUCAGAAAGCCACGGCUAACUACGUG